rnacentral:lncRNA from 1 species
CAAGGAUCCCUAGCCCCAUCAAAGGCAAAGUGAGAAGUUGUGACAUUCCCAUAAAUGAAGGACCCUACCCUCCAUGAGUUACAGUUAAGAGGCCAGGGAACUGGGCUUGGCAUGAGGACUAUGAAGGUCAAAUAGAGGGUGGUUUCAAGUGAGGUUUAGGGGAAGGGCCCAGGUUUCAGAUGGUGGGAGUGGUCAUAGAUUGUACAGAUGCAUGUGGGGUAAUUCAUAAAGUACUUAGUUUGAAAGAAAGGUUUAGGGAGAGGAAGAGAUGGGGAGAACAGAGAUUUUCUCUUUAUAAGAGGUCAUUUUUCAAAGAAAUUUGUGUACGGUGAAGGAAGAACACAGGAGGGGAGUAUGUAGUUUUCAGUGGUGUCUGAUUCUUUUGCGACCCCAUGAACUUUAGCCUGCUAGGCUCUUCUAUCCAUGGAAUUUUACAGGUAAGAAUGCUGAGUAGGUUGUCAUUUCCUUCUCCAGGGGAUCUUCCUGACCCAACACUCAAACCUGCAUCUCUUGAACUGGAAAGCAGAUUCUUUACCACUGAGCCACCUGGAAAGCCCCAAGACUAUGUUAUGCAUGUUAUGUCAUUUCAGUUGUGCCCGCCUUUUGGGGGAACUUAUGGACUGUAAACUGCCAGGCUCCUCGGUUCACAGGAUUCUCCAGGGGCAAGAUAACAGGACUCAUCUAGUGAUCCAUCAGCCAAUCAAGAGCUCUCAUCAAGCCUGUCUUCUCCAUGGGAAAGCAACAUUCUGCAAGGACCUGCAGUACUACUUUUUUUUUUUUUUUUUGGCCUUACUUUAGUCAUUGUUAAAAAAAUGAAUUAAUAAAUCUACAUGUGUGUAAAUGACAAUCAAUAUUGUUCAACAGGAGGAUUUGUAAAAUUAAGAUCUACACAAAAGUAAAAUAAUGUUUAUAAAUUUGACACAGAGUGAUUGUACAAGAUUUCAUUGAGUGAAGUUACAUACACAUUAUAUCUCUGCUAUUUCUAUUUUACUUUGAAAUAACAAAGAUUUCCAGCUUCGAAUGAGUUGGUAAACUGUCAUCUACAAAUCAAACUGGAUUUUUAAAAGUCUGUUAAUCACAAAUCCUGAUUGAAAUGUUUCAACACUACACCUCACAAUAAAUAUUUGUUCAAAGAAUGAACUAAGUUAGUCAAACAAUGUUGAAGUUUAUUGAUUUUUUAAAUUGAGUUAUAAUUUAUAAACAAAAUACUCACAUGUGAAAAGUGUCUUUCAACCAGUUUCAACAGUAUC